CGGCCAAUUUACUGUGUGGGUUGGAUAUACGGUACUUAAAAGCUAUGAAUAUACUUAGCACGCAUAUCCUCUAUUGAAAAUUGUUAUACACCAAGAGAUCAAACUUAUGAACCUACAUCAAUGUCUUAUUGUCAAGAAUGGGGCAAGCUUAGUGAUGCUUCAUUUAACGGGAAAGGAGCUAAUCCUAGCAUGAUUCAAGUCGCUGAAGACGUUGAUUUGACUCUAACGACUAAUACAGAGUCUCUGGUACAAGAUGACGCCCCACUAAAGAAGCUGAGGCCUCAACACAAAAUGGCCUCAUUGUAAAAGAACCACUGGAGCAGUAAGUGUCCUUACAAGGAUACUCUUGAUGUUACGACUGAGGAGUCCCUAACAAGCUUGGAGUCUUAAGUGAAUCUUUCUUAUUAACAACAACUACAUUUCUUAUCUUUCUUACGAGGGAUUUGUAACGAGCUUGGAGUCUUGAGAGAAUAUUUUAAAAUUACCAACUAUACGGUAUUCAUCUAUGAAUGGAAUUUUGAGUAGAAGAGCUACAUGUAAAAACUUGGCAGACUACGAUUGACGGACAUCAAGACAAUAAUUAGAAUAAAAUUAAUAGUUUAAUAACGUAUAGUACCACUCUCUCUCUCUCUUUCUCCAUCUUGUAGUUGAUGUUUCAGAAUUUGUUCAAGGGAAGGUGCUCAUUGAAGUCAUUGCCAUUAGUUACAAGGAGCCACGCCCACAUGAAACAGACGAGGGAGAUGAUGUUAGCAGGUGUUGUGUUGAAGCUAAAAUAAAAAUAAAGUUUUCUGUUGAUAGUGUCAGUGCCUAUAUUGAUUGCUCUUUUAAUCGAAUUUUACAGGUCAAUCAGUAUUCAGGAGGUUGACUUGACCUUUGUGGGUUCCCGUGACCUUUUGACCUCUUAAACUGAAGCACAUAUCAUGACCCAUAGGAUUGACCACACCCUCUCUCUGCCUCUUGAACUUUUUUGCAUUCCAACAAAACUACAGGCUAGGCAGCAUAAGGGUCUUGUUGGAUACUUUACCAUUGGGUUUGAGGUUCCCUCUUAUCCUGUGUACUUCAGUACUAGUCCACAAGAUACACCCACUCACUGGCAUCAGAGGAUAUUCUUCCUCAAUGAACCCAUACAAGUUCAAACAGGUGAUCUAUUACAUGGUUACUGUAAGAGCAAGGAUUGUUCAAGAUCACUUGAUAUCAAGAUACAGAUGAUGUUAUUUCCACUCUCAAAAGAAUCCCAAGUACCAGAACACAUGUACACUAUCAUCAUGUGUGUUUAGUUUGUCUUCGGAAUUAAUAACAUUAUUGUUAAACUCUUUGCUAAUUAAUAUUAAAAAAAAUUAUUUAAAACAA